GCUACAGUGGGGUCAAAGUGACAAAGGUAUUCUCUGUAUUUGAUUUUGUUGUAUUGCAGGAGUAUCUAGAGGUUUCUGCUAAGAAACUGAGGCAGAAAGAUUCAAUUAUUUCCCCAACGUCACACAGCUGGUCAAGAACUCAAGAUUUCCUUACGUCUAACGCUACUCUCAGUCCUCCAACCCAUGCUGCCUCUACUUGUGAGUAGUGUCAUUUGUUGCAGCUCUGACCUCACCAGCAACCCUAUCAUAAUAAAAAGUACAUGCAGUGGAAGAAAAAAAUAUGAUUAAAGAAGAAAAGUCACUGUAUGAAACUACCAAGAAAAUUGUCAGGAGGAAGAGAUGGAAUAUCCCCAGGGGAAAAAAAAAGUUUGUUCUUCUAGAAACAGUAGAACUCCUGCUGACAGUCUUAUCAGAAAUGUGGACAAGCUAAAGGAAAGAUCAAGAUCACCUUUGGCAAAAAGAAUCCUGUUAAUUCAUCCACCAAUGACACUACACCAUAGCGGUCUCUGAUACCAAGUGAGAAGUAGCUGCUCAGAUAUGCAAUCAUGCAAGGCAACAACUGAUCCACAUGAGUUUUUUAAACCUGCAGUUGUGAGAACAGAAAACUUCUGCUUAUCUUUUUAUCAGGUUUUCACUUCAGCUGGUGGUUUUAAGUCGGAAAAAUUCAGCUAAAGUUUUUGGAGAUGAAGUUAUGAAACAUCGGAUUUUUACGAAGGGAAGAGAGAUUUCCUAUUUAUGUAAGUGUUUAUACAUGGGCUAUUAAUCUACAUGUCAAUCUAGAAGCCCUUUCCAAAACUGUAUGCUUUACAGGAAUACUCUCUAAAUCAAGACAGAUGGUGCUCAAGGAGAAAGAAAAUGGGAGUUCUGAACAUAUGUAGUGCUAUAAAAAUGCUAAGUACUCAGAUAAAUCAGGUCCUAGGUGUCUCAGGUUGAGCACUAAAAUUAGUGAACACUUUUGA